UGGGGAAUUUUGCACAAUGGGGGAAACCCUGAUGCAGCGACGCCGCGUGAUUUAGAAGGCCUUCGGGUUGUAAAAAUCUUUUUUACGGGAUGAAAAUGACAGUACCGUAAGAAUAAGGUCCGGCUAAAUACGUGCCAGCAGCCGCGGUAAUACGUAUGGACCGAGCGUUGUCCGGAAUCAUUGGGCGUAAAGGGUACGUAGGCGGCCUAGUAAGUUAGAAGUGAAAUAAUAUAGCUCAACUAUAUAAAGCUUUUAAAACUGCUAGGCUUGAGAGUUGGAAGGGAAAGUGGAAUUCCUAGUGUAGCGGUGAAAUGCGCAGAUAUUAGGAAGAAUACCGGUGGCGAAGGCGACUUUCUGGUCAUCAUCUGACGCUGAGGUACGAAAGCGUGGGUAGCAAACAGG
rnacentral:rRNA from 1 species